CAUGCAAGUCGAGGGGCAGCAUGGUCUUAGCUUGCUAAGGCCGAUGGCGACCGGCGCACGGGUGAGUAACACGUAUCCAACCUGCCGUCUACUCUUGGACAGCCUUCUGAAAGGAAGAUUAAUACAAGAUGGCAUCAUGAGUCCGCAUGUUCACAUGAUUAAAGGUAUUCCGGUAGACGAUGGGGAUGCGUUCCAUUAGAUAGUAGGCGGGGUAACGGCCCACCUAGUCUUCGAUGGAUAGGGGUUCUGAGAGGAAGGUCCCCCACAUUGGAACUGAGACACGGUCCAAACUCCUACGGGAGGCAGCAGUGAGGAAUAUUGGUCAAUGGGCGCAGGCCUGAACCAGCCAAGUAGCGUGAAGGAUGACUGCCCUAUGGGUUGUAAACUUCUUUUAUAAAGGAAUAAAGUCGGGUAUGUAUACCCGUUUGCAUGUACUUUAUGAAUAA
rnacentral:rRNA from 1 species